rnacentral:rRNA from 1 species
CAGCAGCCACGGGAAUACGAAGGGUGCAAGCGUUACUCGGAAUUACUGGGCGUAAAGCGUGCGUAGGUGGUGGUUUAAGUCCGUUGUGAAAGCCCUGGGCUCAACCUGGGAAUUGCAGUGGAUACUGGGUCACUAGAGUGUGGUAGAGGAUAGUGGAAUUUCCGGUGUAGCAGUGAAAUGCGUAGAGAUCGGAAGGAACAUCUGUGGCGAAGGCGACUAUCUGGGCCAACACUGACACUGAGGCACGAAAGCGUGGGGAGCAAACAGGAUUAGAUACCAGUAGUCCCUGUCUCUUAUACAC